AGCUUUGUGCAGUGGCAAUACUGUAGCAAAUGAGGUUUAUCUGAGGUGUGAUUAUUGCUAAUUAAUAAUACCAUGAGUAUGGAGUCUUAAGGCGUAAAAUAUCCACUUUAUGUCUUCAAAUAAAAAGA
ensembl:snRNA U4 U4 spliceosomal RNA